rnacentral:SRP_RNA from 1 species
GCUGGGGCUGGUGGCACAUAUCUGUAGUCCCAACUACUUGGGAGGCUGAGGUGGGAGGACCACCCAGUCCCAGGCUGUAGUGCCCUGUAUGAAUCGGGUGUUUGUACCAAGUUCAGCACGAAUAUGAUGACCUUCCAGGAGUUGGGGGCCACCAGGCGGCCUUAAGGAGAGGGAAAUCAGCCCAGGUCAAACCUGGAGCAGGUCAAAACUGUUACACUGAUCUGUAGUGAGAUAGUCCCUGUUAAUAGCCACUGCACUGCAGUCUGGGCAGCAUAGCGAGACCCCAUCUCU